AACAAGGUUUCCGUAGGUGAACCUGCGGAAGGAUCAUUAACCUUUUCAAAAUCAGGGUGCGGCGCGGCCCCCGAGGAGCGGAAACAAUCCUUGGGAGGUAUGCGGGGGCUUCGAGCCCCCCAUUUACGCACGCACGACUGCCAUCCUUACUUUACGAGCACCUUCUGUUCUCCCUCGGCGGGGCAACCUGCCGUUGGAACCGAAUAAACUCUUUUUGCAUCUAGCAUUACCUGUUCCGAAACAAACAAUCGUUACAACUUUCAACAAUGGAUCUCUUGGCUCUGGCAUCGAUGAAGAACGCAGCGAAAUGCGAUAAGUAGUGUGAAUUGCAGAAUUCAGUGAAUCAUCGAAUCUUUGAACGCACAUUGCGCCCCUCGGUAUUCCGUGGGGCAUGCCUGUUCGAGCGUCAUCUACACCCUCAAGCUCUGCUUGGUGUUGGGCGUCUGUCCCGCCUCCGCGCGUGGACUCGCCCCAAAUUCAUUGGCAGCGGUCCUUGCCUCCUCUCGCGCAGCACAUUGCGCUUCUCGAGGGGCUACGGCUCGCGUCCAACAAGCACAUUUACCCGUCUUUGACCUCGGAUCAGGUAGGGAUACCCGCUGAACUUAAGCAUAUC
rnacentral:misc_RNA from 1 species